rnacentral:rRNA from 1 species
UGGGGAAUUUCGCACAAUGGGGGAAACCCUGAUGCAGCGACGCCGCGUGAUUUAGAAGGCCUUCGGGUUGUAAAAAUCUUUUCUAUGGGAAGAAAAUGACAGUACCAUAGGAAUAAGGACCGGCUAAUUACGUGCCAGCAGCCGCGGUAAUACGUAAGGUCCGAGCGUUGUCCGGAAUCAUUGGGCGUAAAGGGUACGUAGGCGGGUAAGCAAGUUAGAAGUGAAAUCCUAUAGCUCAACUAUAGUAAGCUUUUAAAACUGCUCAUCUUGAGGUAUGGAAGGGAAAGUGGAAUUCCUAGUGUAGCGGUGAAAUGCGCAGAUAUUAGGAGGAAUACCGGUGGCGAAGGCGACUUUCUGGCCAUAACCUGACGCUGAGGUACGAAAGCGUGGGUAGCAAACAGG